CUGAACAAGACUCAGAUGCUCAAAAGAAGCUAGCCGUGGACUUAUGGCAGUCUGUAUACAAGAAUUAAUGAUGUCGUCAAAGUGAGGUCCCUAGCCCUGUUGGGACAGGCCGGGGGCAUACCCCAAUUACCACCAGCUCUACUGGAGUAAGGAGUGGACGGAUACAACUGUGGGACGGAUAAGUGGCCUCCAUUACACAGGGCUUGCUUGAGGGGCUACCUUGAGAUUGUGAAGACACUUGUUACUCAUAGAGCUCGUACUGAUAAAGGUUGGGAGGGAUGACUCUACUUCACUAUGCAUGCCAGGAAGGUCAUAAAGAGGUGGUCAAGUACUUGAUCCAAGACGUCGGAUGUAGCACUGCAUCGUACUGUCAGCUUUACCGUAUCCCUCGUGCGGCUACGCCUCGAGGCUUAAUUAUGGUCGCCAUAGCGUGUUAGUGCUCUGUUCCACAACAGAUGUGAGGGAUAAGGAUAACUGGACUCCUCUUCACUGGCAUGGGCUUGUGAGGGAGGAAGUAAAGACAUGGUACAGUAUCUGGUGGAGGAACUGAAGAUGGAAGUUGGUGAGAUCAUAGAUAAAGGGGAGAGAGGGAUUGGAAACUAUGCAUGCUGUCAGCCCAAAUGUGGGAAAACAGGAUUAUCUAGACCCUUACAAGCAUUCCCAAAGCUUACAAUGCCCCUUGCUGGUACGUAGCCAUCAUUUGGAAUGACAAAAAAACUUUUUCGAUGUUUAGACAGCGGCGUACACAAAGGGGGGCUAGAGUACAACACAACCACCGUGCAGUGUUAUACCUUGAUUAUACACCCACUCUUGUUCAGGUGCAACUGACGAUCAUGGCAUGACUCCUCUUGACAUUACUACACGUAGGGGACACUGAAAUUGCUGACUACCUCAAGUUUCUACCCCAACAUCUGCUGUGGCUGGGAACACUGACUCCAGGAGUGACGAGAAUGGACCACCACCAACAAAGAAACGAAAAAGUGCCCAGCCAGUGACUCGGAGAGUGUGUCCUAACUGUGAGGAGAGUUGUCACAUCCGCUGCAAGAAAUGUCCCGAAUGUGAGCACGAGUUCCCUCCUUCCACUAAGAGCAGGGCCAAACCUGACCAGAAAAACCCUUCAAGCCUACGCAGAUCCUACAGAAAAAGGUUGACCAACUCUCUCUGUUAGGAUUUGACAUUGUCGUACUAGUACCCGUUUCCCUUCACCUAUUACACCGUUAGAGUCGUCUUGGCAACCAAUGAACUGACCCCAACAUUAACUCAAUAGAUCGGGAACUCUGCAAUAGAAUCUCCAUAGAAUAAUUUGUUUAAGAAUGCAUAUUUUAGUGGGGGAUUUUCCCUAAUACAUUCAGUGUGAAUUUAUAUAUUUCUGUUCAAGCUAGUUUAGUGACCCUUUUCCAUUGUUCCUGGUAAGAAAUUACUUCGCUUAUAAAUUGCUACUAUCUAUGCUUGCAGUAUAGUACAUACUACAUAUCCAUACGUGUGUAUCAUGGCUGAGGGAAAAAUGGACUUGAAGACUGAUGAUGACAUCAAUGACUAUGAAGAGUUUGAAGCCAUUAGGGAAGAUGAGGUUGAGCUAGCUAAGAAAGGUGAUACUACUUCUCAGACUGGGUUUGGACGGUUGCUGUUAAUUAAACAGAGUUAUGGGUCCACGUCUUGGAAACAAACAAACAGAUGCCAAAUCCACAAACAGUACGGACACCACGACGUGUGAAACUAUACGGCAACGAAGACCGAUAUUGAUUGAUCCUACCAUAGACUAUGAUCCUGAAAAUCAAGUACUGAAAGAGACUGAGGAAGGUUUCGAGGGAGAGCUCAAAAUUCUUAGAGGCUUCUACUCUACCAAGCAUUUACUAGAAGAUCAACUACUUCAGGCCAAUGAAAGUGUAGAACGCCUAUCUGCCGAGAAAGAAUUCUUCUUACAGGAGCAGAACAUACUGAAAAAGGAGAUUGUUGACCUCCACGACAAACUGGAAAUUGUUAGAGCUAAGGCUGAGCUGUAUAAAGAAGACUUUGAGAAUGAGCGAAAAGACAGAGAAAAUGCUCAUGAUCUCAAGGAAGAAAUGAGACGUUCUUGUGAUCAAAGGGUUCAUGCAAUUGCAAAGGAACGACAUGCGCUCGAGGAAACGAUACAAAAUUUAUUAAGAACAAGAAUACCUGAAGAACUAUCUAAUGAUAAGGAAGGUUUGCAAGAAGUAAGUGCAACGAGGACAUCCACUAGGCAGCACGAGCUUCAACAGAACAACAAAGAGAUCCAUGAGCUUCAAGAGCAGCUCUACGAAGCACGUCAGAAGGCCAUCACAGCUCAAGAGGAAGUCCAGGCAAAGACAGCUCAGGUCAAACAGUACAAGAAGAAAGAUGAUCAACGGGAUGAAAAGCUCGUCAAUCUAGAGGCGAGGAACCAGGGAUUAAUGCAGGAGAUGGAGAGGGUUAGGAGUGAGCUGAAAGAGACGAAAACUGAGUACAUGAAGUUGCUAGAGAAACAAAAGAAAUCUAGUCUAACAGAAAUGGGACAAAUUUGCCACGACCUUAGAAAAAAGACGAGGAAGAAAAUAAUGUCCAAGUCUGAGGCUCAUAUUGAACUACUGGAGGUGCAACUUGACAAUGAUUCUCUUCGGGUCCAUAAUGAAAGAUUGAACGAAUCUCUUCAACAAGUACAAGUACAAUUUGCUCGCCUAAAGGUGCAACACCUUGAGUUGAAGAAGGAAGUUACUAAAUCUGCAGCCACACCCACCACUCCCACUGAACCUUCUACGCCAAUUCAAGCAAAAAACCCAGGACUGGUUCAGGAGACAGACACGGUCAGGAUUGAGCUGGAUAUGGCAAGAACUGAGUUAUUGUAUGUGAAUCUUCCUGAGAACGUCAGGAAAUCGAGCAGGAAUGCAUCACAGAAAAAAGUGGAACACCAAUGUGAGAGUAGUGAGGUCAUACUAAAUGAAGAAAUAACUCCUACCACACACACCACACAUCCGAGUGGAUCUACCGAUCACGAAAGAUCUCUCCUGACCAAACAGAAUACGGACAUUCCUCGAUCUUCUGGUAUGACAAUGCACCCUCAAAUAUCGUCUUGGCAACCUCAGUAUCAACACCCACCUAUCUAUAUACCUGGAUCCUCAUCGUCAAACGCACCGGACACCCAACGACAACGUAUUUUUAAUAGCGCCCCUGACAGUCAAAACACCUACAUUAGUUCUUCUGCAUGCUACGAUUUGGAUUAUCGAGAUCAAAAUCACGUGUGGCAACAAGAACGUCGGCAAAUACAGCCAUACGUACAGCACCAAGAGGGGACAGUCCAACCCCUACCUUUGCAAAGACCACCUCAAUCUUCAAGAGAAGCUUGUCAAUUAGGUAGUCAGCAUCGCCGAGAACCUCUGCAAUAUCAUCAGCCAAACAGGGGGCUACCUAAACCCUUCGAUCGAACCACGUCCCAAACAGGAAAUGCAACACACGAUUCCUCAGUUUCAAGCAAUUACAAUUCUGUCUCAGAUAUGGUUGGACCGAACUCUAAUCCAUCGUACAUGGCUACUGAUUUAGCUGUAGAUUUGCAAAGGGAAAAACCUAAGCCAAAACCACGUCACAAAUCACAACAAAGAGAAGAGAAUGAACUUGAAAAAAGUUUGGACAAAGAGAUUCAAGAAAUUGUCAACGAUUUAUUUUAUGAGCAGUACGAGAGUGAGAAGCAACGAACUAACGAACAUGUUCCUCUCGAUUCCAACCUGGUGUGUCUAGUGUGCUCCAAGCAACACAGACUGGGAGAGAUUCAGAAGUACCGGAAACACGUGAAAGAGUGUGAGAGAGAACAGGGAGUGAGAGCUGUGGAGGCGGUACGUAUGAUGUUAUUGUCAUAAAUUAUAAGCGCAAUUAUUUUUAGUGUCAUGUUGUGGUGUUUCCAUGCAUGGUGGGGUGCCACAGUUUUUGCUGUGUGGUGGUAUUCUGUCUACCGUAGAAACUGGAUUAUUAGCGCUUACUCGACUAUAAGCGUAUAUCUUUAUUUUAAGCACACGCUCAACUGCAGGCUUUUUAUACUCGAAUUGAAGCGCUUUUCCAAUUAUGCGAAGGUUAUUAGUAAAAAUUUUAGAAUUGAUUCAACUAAUUUUGUUUAUCUAUGACCUAUAUAGUUAGCUUGUACAGGCUAUAUAGCUGCAUGGUGAUAUCCAUCUGUAAGGACUCUCUGGGCAUGCUGUUACCUUGUCUGAUCAUGCUGAGAGAAUGUGAGACAUGGAUGAGGUCCUUUUAUUCCAAGUUCCUGGUCAAUAUGUAUAAUAUGAAUUUAAAUGAUGUAAAUGAACUGUAAAAUGAACUGUAACAUAAUAGUAUGAUAUAGAUCCAGUUUGGGUUGCCUGCUUGCCUUGCUUGCUCACUUUCUAGCCAGCUUGCGAGUCAGCUCUCAUCACAGAGACAUCCAGUUGCUGGGUGGGGCUCAAAAUGACUGCGCAUUCUCGAAUAUAAGCGUAUAGAGCUCUGCUAUUGACCCUAAAAGCGCAUGCAUGCGCUAAUAAUCCAGUUUCUUAUAUGGUAUAUAUAAAUCAACUGUGGCUGGCCGUCCUUCAUUUCCGAGGGGAGGAAAUGUCUAUAUAAUUAUUACCAAGACAUGCUCAUAGGCAAGAGUGUUGUAAAUGCAUGUGGUUUGUCGUAGUAGUACAUCUAGGGGAUUUGUACCCGAGGCAUGUAUUUCUGAGGUAAUACAUACAACUGCAUGCAUGCAUGCAUGGCACCAAAAAUAAAAUCCAAUACACACUAUCAACAAUUACUGUAUACAUGCAUGCAUGGCACCAAAAAUAAAAUCCAAUACACACUAUCAACAAUUACUGUAUACAUGCAUGCAUGGCACCAAAAAUAAAAUCCAAUACACACUAUCAACAAUUACUGUAUACAUGCACAGCAAGGAUUAGAGUAUUGUGUUUCACCCACGGGAAAGGUAUAUCCAUUAUCGCUAUGUUUUUAAUGACAUGCAUACACGCCGCAACUAUACUUUCGACUUUUCUUCGAAAAACUUCAAUUGAGGGCUCUAUCCAAUUAAAGAAAGGUAUAGAGCCACGGCGAGACAAAGAGAAGUGUUUUAAAAAGGCCGCUAAACUUUCAUCGGACACAAAACCAUUCUCUGUAAAACAUUCUACUGGUCCAAGGGAUUGAACUGAAUGGAAAUUGUUUCUCUAUAAAUUAUUUAUGUUUGUGUUAAGUUUGACACUUCUGCAAAGCUACUUUGUGACCCGUAUAAUUGAAGCCUAUAAUACUACAAUCAUGUAUUAUGUAUGCAA